rnacentral:lncRNA from 10 species
AUUAUAUGCACGCAGCAGAAGAGGAAAGAAGUACCGCUGACAGGAAGACCUAGGGUCUUUUUUAGCCAGAGGUCUCUAUAGACAUGCCAUCAAUAGUAAUGGCAACCGCAGUGUAUCAUCGUGACGAUGUGCUUAAUCAGGGCUCAGGUGUUGAGGAUGUAGACUUGGGAGAGCCCCUUGUUGGUGUGCUUAAGGCAUCCUGGUUUCAGUCAGGUCAGGUCCCCUCACCUAAUACUGGCCUGAGGCCCAAGACCAAGAUACAAGGACUGAGGCUGGUAAGUGAUUUGAAGCAGUGCCUGAUAUUCAUGCAAGAAGCUAGAAAUGUCAGUUGCUGCUUGAGGUAAACAUUUGUUUUCCAGAGUAAAUGUUACAGCUUCUGCUUCUCAUAACAGUGUCAUUCAAGCAUGUGUCUAAAGGACAGCAAGACAUCAUGGAAAUAGCUUUCAUUCUUAAUCCAUAUUUGUGUUAAACUAUAGAAUCAUUUAAUCCACCAGCUCAUUGUGAUCAUCAAAACAGAGAAGCUGCAAAAUAUUUCCUUCAUUAUAAAAAUAAAACCAAGUGCUGCUCUCUGCUUCAGAUUCCUUUUGAAUACUAAUGCAUAAAAGCCAAGAUUAAAUUAAUCUCAGCUGUCUCAGUCACACUUGGCUAAUGAAUCAUAAAAUAGUUUCAUCUUCGUAUGACAAGUUGCCCUUGAUGGCAAAUUAAAAUCUUAAUAAGGGUUUUUAAAAUACGCAUGCAUAUAUACAUGCACAAUCUCUUUCAUUAGAGCCCAAUGUCAAAAUACAAAUUCUUGCUUUGCAUUUCAGAUAUUGUAAACUUUUGAGAACAUCUUCUAGAUCUUUUUAUCUGGUGGCUUCAAAUUCUGUGUAUGCAAAUGCCUUUAACUUAACCUUCGAAAUAAUUGUUUUGGAAAUCUUGAUAGAGUUAUUGGAUAGUGGUUUGUUUUUAAAAAUUAUAUGUAUGUCAUUUGUUAACUACUUACUUAAAUAAUGCAAAAAUUAAUGGUAUAAUUUUCUACCUCCCAUGCUUCCUCAAGAACGGUGGCUUCUUUGGGGCCAUGAUGUAACGGAGAUGUCAGAGACCAAUUACAGAGGCAGAUUGCCGCAGUGCUAGGGAGGAGAAAAUUUUGGAAAAGGAGAUGAAAUGAAUAAAUAACAAAAGCAGUAACAGCAAAUUAAACUUUAGCUUGAAUUUUAUAUAGCACGUACUGGUAAAAAUAUUGUUUCAAAUAACAGUGGCUGUAUGGAACAGUGCUUCUCAAACUUUCAUAUGCACACACACCACCCGGAAAUCUUGCUAAGUGUAGAUUCUUACUCAGUAGAUCUCAGGUGGAGACAAGAGUGCAUUUCUAACCAGCUACCUGUGAUGCUGAUGUGCCUGAUCCAUGGGAAACAUUUUGACAAGCAAGGCACAGCAUAACGCACAUGUAAAUAGAAUAUUUUAUUUUGUUGAAGAUAUAAAUCCAAUUUUAGAAAAAGGUGUAUCUAAGCAGGUAGUUAUAGUUUUUCUACAUAUGGCAAAUUAGCCGGCUAACUUCAAAUACCUUUUUCUGCCUACCUUUGAAUUCUCUUUCUUGGAAUUCUCAACAUUGGCUUAAUCUCAUAUGAGAUUUGACUCAAGGGAUUCCUAAUGAGACAUAUUAGUUUAGUUGUUUUUUUAAAAGAAAAGUGAGAAAAAUGGCAAAAUAUAAAUUAAGAAGAAAAGCAUAAUUUUAAAAUGAUUAUUACUUUUUUAUUUGAUUUGUUGGCUGGAAAAGGGUAUGGCAUUUUAUAUUUCUCAAAGUGGAUUUAAAACAAGAUUUAGAAUAUUACAUCUAAUUCUAACAAUUUACUAAUCAUCAAUAAUUCUUACUUAAGCACCAAAUCUGAUGCUCACUGGAACAAGUAUGUAUUCAAUUGUAAUAAUGUUUAUGCCAGGUUAAAACUCCAAUCCAAAUGCCAAGACAUUUAGAAAACUAAAUUCUUAGAUGUUAUCUCAGGACUUUUUUUUCUCUUUUUCCAAAGAGAGAACAAUGUUAUUGAUGCACUGACCUUUCUCCCAGAUUCUAAACUCAAAUGAUUGUUUAAAAAGCAAAACUCUUACAGUCAAACUGCAUACUUAUUGUUUGAAUGCUUCAUAGCAAAUCUCUUUAAUAGAUGUAUUAGAAUAAAAUGUUUGUUGCACAUCAAUUCUAUUAUCCUUUUUUGUAGAAUGCAGAGCCGAGGUACACUGUGACAUCCAAGACUGCUGCCGGUUCUAGAAAAGCCGAAUAUAAGGAACAGGAGUCCGUUAGGGGCUUCUUUUAUAGAUGAGUCAUAUAAAACCAUAUGGAAAGACCCGAGGAAGAUUUACCCAUUGUUAAAUUUAAAUUCCUUUGAGUUAUGGGAAUUUAAUUUUAGAAAUAUAUACUUGGAUUAUGAUAUUUUUGCCUAGUGUGACAAUACAAAGUGAUAGGACUCAAACAAAAGAUUCCUAACAACAGUAAUAUGCUACUCUUUCAUUAGA